ensembl:lncRNA
ACACACUUCUCAAGAUCGCCUCUCAGACCCUGCUCCUAGGCAGCAUCUCACUCUGCUAGGCCUUUACAAUCAGCUCCAGAGUUUGGAGCCCCGGAUGCCAGCCUGGGCAACUAACAGGAGCUGCCUGCGCUUCCCUCCGCCCCCAAGGCUGGAAUCCGCUGCCCAGUGUCGGUCAAGAGCCCAAAUAUCUUCAGUUCCUGCCCGGGGGAGUCGCCGAGUCCCUAAAGCUGAAGACCCAGAAGCGGGAGCCGGACCUGGGGCUUCGCCACAGAAACGCCGGACAAUUUCCUCCUGGACGCUCACGUUCCCGAUUCAGGCCCCGGGGCCCCAUCGCCUGCCCGAGACCAGAUGCGCAUUUCUCACAUCAAUUUUGCUGAGAAAGAGAGCCCAGCGGCCCGGAGGCGGGACCCUCCUCUAGUGACAGCGGCCACUCGCCAGCCCAGCGACAACAAAAGCCCAGGGAGAAACCCCGCUCCAUUCGGAAAAGUGAAAGCUGCCUAUGGUCCUGCCCCAGCUGCCCUCAGGGUGCAGGGACCCCCAAGAGUCCUUGGGAGAUUGAUGUCUCUGUCCCCAGCUGGGUUCGAGGCCCAGAAUUUUUGUGACCAUCACCGGAAAUUCACCUCAACCCUCAGACACUUCGGGCUCACAUCUCCCUGUGCCCCUGUGAGCAAUUCAGCCUGCCCUUGGUGUCUUCGACCUAGUUUUCCUCCCUCUCCCAAGGGUAAGGCCCUCUGGCUAACCGAAACUUGGGAGCCCUCAGGCUCCAUCCUGCUGUCCGACUGAUACCACCCGAAGCUUAGCCAGUGCCCCAAGGAGCGGGGAAGGAAUUCCCUCGGGUCCUGGGUAGGAUGCAUGAGCCCCAGGGCAAGUCUCCCCCCAUGCAGCCUUUGCCCCACACAAAUUAAUUCUGCACCCGUGCAGCCCUCAAAGUAUGCACACGUUUUCUCCCAGCAUUGCACGCCUCACUUUUUACCCGGACCUGGCGAAGCCUGCUUCUCUCACCCCUGCACCACUUGGUAGCUACCGCCGAUUUGUGCAAGAAGCGCCUCCUCCCUCACUACUUACCCCCACAUCCCUCAUUCUCAUGCCUGCCCCGAAACUCCUCCAAAUCUCCAAGGCCUGGGCAGAGGGUGACUAGCAGCGGCGAGACACCCAGAACCUGCCACGGCUUCACUGAAUAGGGCCCACUCAUUCAGACACCGUCACCGCCGGUUCUAGUAAAAUGGCAAAGACUUUAUUUAUCGGAGAAAGAGGCCUUGGGUACAGUCUGGGGAGGAGAGGGCAGGGCAGGAGCAGGGGAGUGGCACGCAGGACCCACCCUCAUCUGGCCACCCUUUUCUGGCCAAGUCGAGCUAGGAGCAGGGCAUUGGAAACUGCAAGACAGACCCAGAGCUGCAGAGGAGGUGGGGCGAGGGCUUAAGUCGGCCUCCUCUCGAUCUCUGUCACAUGCAAAAAAAUUCUAAAAAGAGUAAAAAAUAAUUCUAGG